GGCGGACGGGUGAGUAACGCGUGAGAAUCUGGCUUCAGGUUCGGGACAACCACUGGAAACGGUGGCUAAUACCGGAUGUGCCGAAAGGUGAAAGAUUUAUUGCCUGAAGAUGAGCUCGCGUCUGAUUAGCUAGUUGGUGGGGUAAAGGCUUACCAAGGCGGCGAUCAGUAACUGGUCUGAGAGGAUGACCAGUCACACUGGGACUGAGACACGGCCCAG
rnacentral:rRNA from 1 species